rnacentral:rRNA from 1 species
GAUGAACGCUGGCGGCGUGCCUAAUACAUGCAAGUCGAGCGAACAGACGAGGAGCUUGCUCCUCUGACGUUAGCGGCGGACGGGUGAGUAACACGUGGAUAACCUACCUAUAAGACUGGGAUAACUUCGGGAAACCGGAGCUAAUACCGGAUAAUAUAUUGAACCGCAUGGUUCAAUAGUGAAAGACGGUCUUGCUGUCACUUAUAGAUGGAUCCGCGCCGCAUUAGCUAGUUGGUAAGGUAACGGCUUACCGAGGCAACGAUGCGUAGCCGACCUGAGAGGGGGGUUCGGCACCACGGGACUGUGACACCGUCCCAGAUCCCUAGGGGAGGAAGCGUUAGGAAUCCUUCCGCAUGGGGCGAAGGCCGGACGGAGCAACGCGGCGGGGUUGAGGAAGGCCUUCGGUUCGUAAACCCUGUUUAUUGGGGAAGAACAAAUGGGUAAGUAACGAGGCACGUCUGGACGGUACCUAAUCAGAAGGCCCCGGCUAACUACGU